rnacentral:lncRNA from 1 species
CUGGGACUGCAGAGGAAGCUGAGGCCUCCAGCCCUGCACAGGAAGCAAUCUUAGAGCAGGCCUUAAAUGCCAGAUUCCAGGCAGAGUUUAACUAACCACUGACAGCUCUGUAAACAAAGCAGGGACAAAAAGAGAACAGCUUUCCCUUUUCUGGUAGUCAUUUUUGGUUUGGGGGCUGCAGGGGAAUUCUGUAAUACUCGGCUUGAUGGGAUAUAAACCAAGGCUGAAAAGGCUUUGUAUAUGAAGAACUAUAAAGGGGAAAAUAUUUCAUGGACUAAAUCAUAAAGGAGAAGAUUUGGAUCUUUUCAGAGCGCUGAACGCUUGAACACCCACCAUGGAUGACUUUGAACGCCGCAGAGAACUCAGGAGGCAAAAGCGUGAGGAAAUGCGCCUUGAAGCAGAGAGACUGUC